rnacentral:tRNA from 2 species
GGGUCGUUAGCUCAGUUGGUAGAGCAGUUGGCUUUUAACCAAUUGGUCGAUGGUUCGAGUCCAUCACGACCCACCA